GAUGAACGCUGGCGGCGUGCCUAAUACAUGCAAGUCGAGCGAACAGACGAGGAGCUUGCUCCUCUGACGUUAGCGGCGGACGGGUGAGUAACACGUGGAUAACCUACCUAUAAGACUGGGAUAACUUCGGGAAACCGGAGCUAAUACCGGAUAAUAUAUUGAACCGCAUGGUUCAAUAGUGAAAGACGGUUUUGCUGUCACUUAUAGAUGGAUCCGCGCCGCAUUAGCUAGUUGGUAAGGUAACGGCUUACCAAGGCAACGAUGCGUAGCCGACCUGAGAGGGUGAUCGGCCACACUGGAACUGAGACACGGUCCAGACUCCUACGGGAGGCAGCAGUAGGGAAUCUUCCGCAAUGGGCGAAAGCCAGACGGAGCAACGCCGCGUGAAUGAUGAAGGUCUUCGGAUCGUAAAACUCUGUUAUUAGGGAAGAACAAAUGUGUAAGUAACUAUGCACGUCUUGACGGUACCUAAUCAGAAAGCCACGGCUAACUACGUG
rnacentral:rRNA from 1 species